AACGAACGCUGGCGGCGUGCUUAACACAUGCAAGUCGAACGGUGAUCCAUCAGCUUGCUGGUGGUGAUCAGUGGCGAACGGGUGAGUAACACGUGAGUAACCUGCCCCUGACUCUGGAAUAACCCCGGGAAACCGGGGCUAAUACCGGAUAUGACAUCAUCCCGCAUGGGUGUGGUGUGGAAAGUUUUUUCGGUUGGGGAUGGGCUCGCGGCCUAUCAGCUUGUUGGUGAGGUAGUGGCUCACCAAGGCGACGACGGGUAGCCGGCCUGAGAGGGCAACCGGCCACACUGGGACUGAGACACGGCCCAGACUCCUACGGGAGGCAGCAGUGGGGAAUAUUGCACAAUGGGCGGAAGCCUGAUGCAGCGACGCCGCGUGAGGGAUGACGGCCUUCGGGUUGUAAACCUCUUUCAGCUCUGAAGAAGCGAAAGUGACGGUAGGAGCAGAAGAAGCACCGGCUAACUACGUGCCAGCCGCCGCGGUAAAAC
rnacentral:rRNA from 1 species